UCUCCGUUGGUGAACCAGCGGAGGGAUCAUUACCGAGUUUACAACUCCCAAACCCAAUGCGAACCAUACCAAACUGUUGCCUCGGCGGGGUCACGCCCCGGGUGCGUCGCAGCCCCGGAACCAGGCGCCCGCCGGAGGGACCAACCAAACUCUUUCUGUAGUCCCCUCGCGGACGUUAUUUUUACAGCUCUGAGCAAAAAUUCAAAAUGAAUCAAAACUUUCAACAACGGAUCUCUUGGUUCUG
rnacentral:misc_RNA from 1 species